CCUACGGGUUGCAGCAGUAGGGAAUAUUGCGCAAUGGAGGAAACCCUGAUGCAGCAACGCCGCGUGAGUGAGGAAGUAUUUCGGUAUGUAAAGCUCUAUCGGCAGGGAAGAAAAUGACGGUAACUGACUAAGAAGCCCCGGCUCACUACGUGCCAGCAGCCGCGGUAAUACGUAGGGGGCAAGCGUUAUCCGGAUUUACUGGGUGUAAAGGGAGCGUAGACGGCUAAUCAAGUCAGAAGUGAAAGCCCAGGGCUCAACUUUGGGACUGCUUUUGAAACUGAGUAGCUAGAGUGCAGGAGAGGUAAGUGGAAUUCCUAGUGUAGCGGUGAAAUGCGUAGAUAUUAGGAGGAACACCAGUGGCGAAGGCGGCUUACUGGACUGUAACUGACGCUGAGGCUCGAAAGCGUGGGGAGCAAACAGGAUUAGAUACCCCAGUAGUC
rnacentral:rRNA from 1 species